rnacentral:rRNA from 1 species
UACGUAGGGGGCAAGCGUUAUCCGGAUUUACUGGGUGUAAAGGGAGCGUAGGCGGCUUAGUAAGUCAGAAGUGAAAGCCCGGGGCUCAACCCCGGGACUGCAUUGGGAACUGCCCCGCUCGAGUGCCGGAGGGGCAGGCGGAAUUCCUAGUGUAGCGGUGAAAUGCGUAGAUAUUAGGAGGAACACCAGUGGCGAAGGCGGGUUCCUGGACAUUAACUGACGCUGAGGCACGAAGGCCAGGGGAGCGAAAGGG